UACGGAGGAUGCAAGCGUUAUCCGGAUUUAUUGGGUUUAAAGGGUACGCAGGCGGAAAAUUAAGUCAGUGGUGAAAUCCUGCAGCUUAACUGUAGAACUGUCAUUGAUACUGGUUUUCUUGAAUACAGUUGAGGUAGGCGGAAUGUGUAAUGUAGCGGUGAAAUGCUUAGAUAUUACACAGAACACCGAUUGCGAAGGCAGCUUACUAAACUGAUAUUGACGCUGAGGUACGAAAGCGUGGGGAGCGAACAGGAUUAGAUACCCGCGUA
rnacentral:rRNA from 1 species